GUGACCUCAAAUCAGGUAGGACUACCCGCUGAACUUAAGCAUAUCAAUAAGCGGAGGAAAAGAAACUAACAAGGAUUCCCCUAGUAACUGCGAGUGAAGCGGGAAAAGCUCAAAUUUAAAAUCUGGCGGUCUUUUGGCUGUCCGAGUUGUAAUCUAGAGAAGUGUUAUCCGCGCUGGACCGUGUACAAGUCUCCUGGAAUGGAGCAUCAUAGAGGGUGAGAAUCCCGUCUUUGACAUGGACUGCCAGGGCUUUGUGAUGCGCUCUCAAAGAGUCGAGUUGUUUGGGAAUGCAGCUCAAAAUGGGUGGUAAAUUCCAUCUAAAGCUAAAUAUUGGCGAGAGACCGAUAGCGAACAAGUACCGUGAGGGAAAGAUGAAAAGAACUUUGGAAAGAGAGUUAAACAGUACGUGAAAUUGCUGAAAGGGAAACGCUUGAAGUCAGUCACGUCGUCCAGGGAUCAACCUUGCUUUUGCUUGGUGCACUUUCUGGUUUGAYGGGUCAGCAUCAAUUUUGACUAUUGGAAAAAGGCUCUAGGGAAUGUGGCAUCUUCGGAUGUGUUAUAGCCCUUGGUCAUAUACAAUGGUUGGGAUUGAGGAACUCAGCACGCCGCAAGGCCGGGUUUUAUACCACGUACGUGCUUAGGAUGCUGGCAAAAUGGCUUUAAUCGACCCGU
rnacentral:rRNA from 1 species